rnacentral:rRNA from 1 species
CCUACGGGGGGCUGCAGUGGGGAAUAUUGGACAAUGGGCGAAAGCCUGAUCCAGCCAUGCCGCGUGUGUGAAGAAGGCCUUCGGGUUGUAAAGCACUUUCAGUGGGGAAGAAAGCCUUGGGGCUAAUACCCUCGAGGAAGGACAUCACCCACAGAAGAAGCACCGGCUACCUCCGUGCCAGCAGCCGCGGUAAUACGGAGGGUGCGAGCGUUAAUCGGAAUUACUGGGCGUAAAGCGCGCGUAGGCGGUCUGAUAAGCCGGUUGUGAAAGCCCCGGGCUCAACCUGGGAACGGCAUCCGGAACUGUCAGGCUAGAGUGCAGGAGAGGAAGGUAGAAUUCCCGGUGUAGCGGUGAAAUGCGUAGAGAUCGGGAGGAAUACCAGUGGCGAAGGCGGCCUUCUGGACUGACACUGACGCUGAGGUGCGAAAGCGUGGGUAGCAAACAGGAUUAGAUACCCCUGUAGUC